rnacentral:rRNA from 1 species
AGAGUUUGAUCAUGGCUCAGAACGAACGUUAGCGGCGAGCCUAACACAUGCAAGUCGCACGAGAAAGGGCCUCGGCCCCGGUAAAGUGGCGCACGGGUGAGUAACACGUGGGUAAUCUGCCCUCGGGCUGGGGAUAACAUUCCGAAAGGAGUGCUAAUACCGAAUAAGACAACGAUCUCGAAAGAGAAUGUGGUCAAAGCUGGCCUCUAUAAAUAAGCUAGCACCUGAGGAUGAGCCCGCGGCGCAUCAGCUAGUUGGUGAGGUAAUGGCUUACCAAGGCUAAGACGCGUAGCUGGUCUGAGAGGAUGAUCAGCCACACUGGAACUGAGACACGGUCCAGACUCCUACGGGAGGCAGCAGUGGGGAAUCUUGCGCAAUGGGCGAAAGCCUGACGCAGCGACGCCGCGUGAGUGAUGAAGGCCUUCGGGUUGUAAAGCUCUGUGGGGAGAGAAGAAUUAGUAGAUGCGAAUACCUUCUAUGAUGACGGUAUCUCCUUAGCAAGCACCGGCUAACUCUGUGCCAGCCGCCGCGGUAAUUC